ensembl:lncRNA
GGGGAAGGACUCCCUCACGGGACCAGGUGGGCAUGUCCAGGUGCCUGAGGAGGCUCGGAUCGCCCUGUGUUUCUAGCGGCCCGGGGGCCUGGGGACGCCUUGCGGUGUCUUCCUGCAGGCAGGGCGCCAGCCAGGAGGACUGUGGUGCUGGCCCCAAAACUGCUCGAGGCUGGGCGGGUCUGGGCCAGCCAGGUCCUGGUCCUGCCCCCUCUGCCACGGGCACUGCCCUCUACACCCAGUGAGGAAUCUUCCGAACAGAACAGCAACAUGACCUGCUGACUGUCCAUCUGAUGAAGGGCCCCACCACUCCACAAAACAGUGAGCACCACCUGUCCAUCUGAUGAAGGCCCGUCAUGCAGACUGAGACUCUCCAGUGCCGAGGCUGCGGCCCUCAGCCCAUCACAGUGGCAGGAGAGGGCCAGGGUCACACCGCUGGGCUCACCCCAUGUGAGGCCUGUGGCACGUCCACUGGGAGUGGGCACUCGGACCGUGGUGCAUAUGUGUUGAUCCUGGUGAGACGUGUGAACAAAAAGGCAUGUACUACAAUCUGCUCAUCAAAGGAAAGAAUAAUUAAAGUAGGAACAGGUUAGUGUCCCCUGCAAGGAAGACAACCUUCCAAUUAAGGAAUCUCUACAGAUUAAGUUUAGUUCCAAAUCCCAAACAUUGGCUUAGUGGCACUUCAUUACUUCUUGAGUUGCUAGAAAAAGUGUUAGUUUUAUUAUUGAAAGACUAUUCAGCUUUGAAAAGGACCCACAAACAAGUAGGAUUAACUAACCAAUUAACUAAAAAUGCUUUGCAUUGUUCUUUAUUAUUGUAAAAUAUAUCAAAAUGUAGAUGACAUUAUUAAUGUCAAUUAUUAUCUCUUUUUAAGGUUUUACAUGGAUUAUGGUUUCUUUUAUUUUUUAAACUUUUUAUUGGGAUAUAAUCGCUUUACAAUGUUGUGUUAGUCUCUGCUGUACAACGAUGUGAAUCGGCCAUAUGUAUACAUACGUUCUCUCCCUCCUCCUGCCCCUCCCCCCCUCCUCCCACAGCCCCC